rnacentral:rRNA from 1 species
CGGCGACGCCGAGCGGAACCCGAAAACCUGUCUCAGUUCGGAUCGGAGUCUGCAACCCGACUCCGUGAAGCUGGAUUCGCUAGUAAUCGCGCAUCAGCCAUGGCGCGGUGAAUACGUUCCCGGGCCUUGUACACACCGCCCGUCAAGCCAUGGAAGCCGGGGGUGCCUGAAGUGUGCAGCCGCAAGGAGCGCCCUAAGGUAAAACCGGUGACUGGGGCUAAGUCGUAACAAGGUAGC